rnacentral:rRNA from 1 species
GUGUCAGCCGCCGCGGUAAUACGUAGGGGGCGAGCGUUGUCCGGAAUUACUGGGCGUAAAGGGUGCGUAGGCGGCCCUUUAAGUCGGAUGUGAAAGCCCGCGGCUUAACCGCGGAAUGGCAUUCGAAACUGGAGGGCUUGAGUGUCGGAGAGGGUAGUGGAAUUCCCAGUGUAGCGGUGAAAUGCGUAGAUAUUGGGAGGAACACCAGUGGCGAAGGCGGCUUUCUGGCUCACAACUGACGCUCAGGCGCGAAAGCUGGGGGAGCAAACAGGAUUAGAUACCCUGGUAGUCCUAGCCGUAAACGAUGGGUACUAGGUGUGGGUGGUUUCGAUACCAUCCGUGCCGUAGUUAACGCAUUAAGUACCCCGCCUGGGGAGUACGUGCGCAAGCAUGAAACUCAAAGGAAUUGGCGG